GACAGAGGGUGCAAACGUUGUUCGGAAUUACUGGGCGUAAAGCGUGUGUAGGCGGCUAGGUAAGUCGGAUGUGAAAGCCCGGGCUCAACUCGGGAAGUGCACUCGAUACUGCUUAGCUCGAGUAACCGGGAGAGGUUGGGUGGAAUUCUCGGUGUAGAGGUGAAAUGCGUAGAUAUCGGAGGAACACCUGUGGCGAAAGCGGCGCACUGGACCAUAACUGACGCUGAUGCGCGAAAGCUAGGGGAGCAAACAGG
rnacentral:rRNA from 1 species